rnacentral:rRNA from 1 species
GACAGAGGGUGCAAACGUUGUUCGGAAUUACUGGGCGUAAAGCGAGUGUAGGCGGUCUCGUAAGUCGGGUGUGAAAGCCCUGGGCUCAACCCAGGAAGUGCACUCGAAACUGCGAGGCUAGAGUACUGGAGAGGUUGGUGGAAUUCUCGGUGUAGAGGUGAAAUUCGUAGAUAUCGAGAGGAACACCGGUGGCGAAGGCGGCAUCCUGGACCGGCAUUGACGCUGAGGCGCGAAAGCUAGGGGGAGCAAACGGG